UCUGGUGUCAAUGAUGACUGAACUUUUUUCCCCAACAGAUCGACAAUGUUGACUGCUCGGUACUUUAGCCAAACUUUGUCUGAUGCACCAGA